GACCUCAAAUCAGGUAGGGCUACCCGCUGAACUUAAGCAUAUCAAUAAGCGGAGGAAAAGAAACUAACAAGGAUUCCCCUAGUAGCGGCGAGCGAACCGGGAUGAGCUCAAAUUUGUAAUCUGGCAUCCUCCGGGUGUCCGAGUUGUAAUCUACAGAAGCGUUUUCCGUGCCGGACCGUGUCCAAGUCCCUUGGAACAGGGUAUCAAAGAGGGUGACAAUCCCGUGCUUGACACGACGACCGGUGCCGUGUGAUACGCUCUCUACGAGUCGAGUUGUUUGGGAAUGCAGCUCAAAAUGGGUGGUAAAUUCCAUCUGAGGCUAAAUAUUGGCGAGAGACCGAUAGCGAACAAGUACCGUGAGGGAAAGAUGAAAAGCACUUGGAAAGAGA
rnacentral:rRNA from 1 species